AGGGCCCUAGGAAGUUUUUGAAAAUAUACAUACAUAGAUACAGGUCACUGAAAGUGCUUGAAUCUAUUUUAUGCAAGAAGUUUUCUGAAAAAAAAAUCCAUAUUAUUCCCUGUGUAGUGUAGGAUAAUAUCAUAAAAAUUCUAGACUUUUUAAGCACACGUUCGCUUUAAAUGCUUAUAUCUUCUGUAUGCAAGUGUUGAUUCAUACCAAAAUGCUUGUUCCCUGAGAAGUGAACAAUUAAAAAUUGCCACGUUUUAUUUUGUGCCACCAUACUUACUUGAGUAACUACUCAUGUAACAGUCUUUAAAUAGGGAAAACGUGGAAGUGUUUGGUGGCUUCUAAAUUCAUCCCUGUUUGGAUCCUAAGGAAUGAAUGGGGCUAGGCUAAAUGCUAACACAUUCACGAUGCGCUGUACAAAGAUUAAGUGCACGCAUUGAAUAAAGAUAGGUAUGUAUUCAUUCGUCUAAGUUGAGGUAAGAACAAAGUAAAAUAUUGAAAACGGUGGUGUUUUCCUUUAACCAAUGAACAUAAAUCAUGCACAGGUAUUGUUCAUCCACACAACACAUGGGAGCUUAUGAAUUGACAAACUGAUACAGAAGCGAUAUUUAAAAAUAGUUUGCACUAUUCACACUUUAUCCCAAGUCUGUUUUCUUGCUUAAUUCUUUAGAGAACUCUGGCGUUUAUUUUGAAGAGGAUUUUCUGUUUUUUUUUAAGUUUCAGUUGUAGCUAGUUGUUUUAAGUCUAUCACUGUUCCUACAGUAUAUGCAUAUGGGUGAUUCUCACGAAAUCCAGACUUAGAAGGUACAUAUAAGAUUAAGGUCUGAAUUACUAUAACCAUUAUUUUUAGAGGAAUUAAAAAAUAUUUCCUAUAGAAUAAUUACCUUUUUUAGAUUAUCAUUAUCAAAAAUUAUUAUUAUUACUGCAACAUGAUAUUACAUUAAAUAAAUGCAUUUACAAACUCAUGUUUCGGUAAUGAGAACUAAAAAGUUUUCUAGGUAUUAUGACAAACAAAAUUUCAACUUUUAUCUGGAGAGAAAAAAUAAGAACUGCUUACCUGGUAGCCAUCUUGAGUGUCACAGUCAAUUAUGUCCCUUCCAACAAUUUUUUUUUUUUUUGAAAAUUUUAGUUCCUUGAGGGCUUAAUGAUUGAAAAUUGUUGCAGAGAAUGAGAAAAUUGGUCUUGGACGCAUUUAUAUUCCUUAUUAUUGUGUCUACGUUUACCAAUGAUCACCAAAUACCACAUGUUUUUUUACUGUAAAUAUGUAUAGUAUAGCAUGCAUUGAGGCUUUUUAUUUUUUAAGUCAAAGAACCCAAAUCCAGUUAUGGACACAUUGCGGUAAUGAAAAUUUUCCCCUUAAAUGUGGAAAAACAACAAAAAAUUUUUGUAUGAUGCCAUUUAAAGUCAUGUGCAAAAUUGUACAUGAAGAGGUGUUUGUAACUGUAUGCUUCUUAUUUUGAUACUCUUACUUUGCAUUUACUUUUUUUAUCAAAAUGUUUCUUGACACCUCAUAAGUCCAAUUUCGUGAGAAUCACACAUUUUUUUUCUGAAAACACACAAUUGGUGUGUUUAUGACUUAAAUUAAUGUAUUAAAAUAAAUAUAUGUUAAGAUUUGUAUGUGUUCAACUUACUUAAAAUAUGCUAUUCAGCAGUGUUACGUGCCUGUUUAUUUAAGUAUUCAGUAUGUAAUCUUAUAGCAAGGCAAUAUUUUUUUACAUAAAAAUUAAGUUAAUUUGUUUACCAGACUCUGCUUUUACAUUUUCCAUAAUCAGCAGACACAAUAAUUAUUACUAUCAAAUAAAAACAUUUGGCCUCCGUUCAACACCUCUACACCUGAUAGCUUUGUUAACACUGCCUUUAAGUUCUACUUCUUAUAAUGUUUCAUAUGUAAUUAACAAACUGUGAUUUACAUGCUGGUUUGAGAAACAGGCUGCCGACAUAAUGGUUAAAAAGAGACGACUACAGUACAGUGAUCUUAAGUGCGUGAUCUACAGCAACACUGAGAAACAGAUUGCACUGAAAUUACUUUUGACGUGAUGCACAUACUGUGGAGAGUCAACAUGCGCAGCAAUUCUGGAUAAGGUAACGGGAGAGUGGAGAAAGCCGGAACACUUUUGGCCCAUUUAAUGCUCAUGAAAAGCAGACGCGCGGCUGAUUCGCACACAGACUCCGUCGCCACUUCAUACAGGUACAUAGGAG